rnacentral:ncRNA from 23 species
GCCGGUGCGAUCCCGGCGCUGUCCCGCAACGGUGAUGCCCUGCCCCCAGGGACGAGCCCGG